CCUGCUCCUUCGUCUGAGGCACGUCCUCCUCUCAUUAGCUGUGUGGAGCUGUCAGUAAGUAGAGUGAGCCUGACCUCACUGCUUGAGACGGAGCUGGAGACUUGGAAGCAGGAGUGACAGUGACUUAGAUAAGGGGAAUUGUCCUGCUGGUCUAGUGUCCUGCUGAUCAGCCCACCUGUAAGGUGGUCUGUGUCCUGACCCAUGGGUUUAAAGGACUUGGAGGGGCCGAUGACCCAAAAGCUGUGACCAGAGGACUUACCCUUCCUUGCCCUUCUUGAGUAAAAAUCAAGGAUGACAUCUAGAACUGGUCCCCGCAUGCCUGGGUCCCAGAUGUGCCUGUGUGUGCGUGUAUGUGUGUGUGUGUGUGUGCGUAUGUGUGUUUCUGUGCGUGUGUAUGUAUGUGUGAGAGAGAGGGGGUGGUGAGGAGGGAGAAGGGAGGAAGACUGGACAGGAAUCGGGGGAGAGAGAACAAGUGGAAAGUCCCUGGAGACACUUCUGGUUUCUCCCCUGCCCAGCUCCCAGCCCUGUGGAUGCUGCCUUCCCCAGGAAGGCUGGGGAGGAAGAGAUGUAUGUACAGGGGAGCUUCCAGGACUGCUCCCUCCCAGGACUAUACUUUGGGAGAAAGGAAGCCCUUGCUCAACAGCUCCUCUUUGGCUAUUAAGUGCAUCGACUGCCAUGGCCAGCUAGGCCUGGCCCCUGAGCCUAGCCCCUGGGGCCAUCAAAGAGGUGCUCAUCCUCCCACUUACUGUCUCCAUGAUUUGAUCUUCUCAUCUGUCCUUUCUUCCUCAUUUGUGAAAUGGGUAUCCUGCUCCUCCUUCUGCUUCCUGGGAAAGUCUGUUCCCUGCCAUAGUGAGAUGGAUAUGGCAGGCGACAGAGCACAAAACCACGUGCUGAGUUACUGUGCAUCCAGAGGGAUGGGGAGGGGCAGGAAGGAUGACAGUUGGGUCCCCACAAGAGUCUUAGAUCUUUGUCUUCUAACCCUGAGCCACAAGAAACCAGCUGGUCAGCAGAGCUGUGGGCUGGUGGGUGUAGGUGGCUACAGGGGGUGGAAAACAGUAGGUGACCCUGAUCCCUCCUUGCCUCAGGCUCAUACAAUCAGCUGUCUCUGAGCUGGUUCCUUUCCAGACUGUGGAAGGAACUUAUGGGGGCUCUUGGACCUCCGAGUGUGAUAUUUUUAUGGAGGUGGUGUGUGGGUACUCAGGAAGAAAAUUCACCGUCUAGCUUUGUCUGUGUCUGCUGCCCCUAAAAAUAUGAUGGGAUAUGGCUAAUGAGAAAGCACAGCAGGCCUGACUUGGGAUGACCUAAUAUAGCCUGGCAUUCCAGCCCUGACCAGUGCGUAAGUGGGGAUUGGGAACUGAAAACACAAAAUGUCUCUCUGAUGGGAUGGCAGAGACCUGCUGCCAUCCCUAAGGCGGGGUACACCCUGGGGAGCUGAGCAGAGGCCCCUGGGGACUCUCCUGGAUUUCCCAGCGUGCAUGGGGUUGGGGCCCAACUGAGAGCACCUCUUCAGUCUCUGACCCACUCUGCCUAGUGGGCCAGCAUCAGGUCUCAAUGAACCCCUGCAGAGAAGAGCAGUUGGCUUGGCACCCCAGGGGUCGUCAUUUCCACCAACCUGUUCUUAAACAGCAGAGUGGACCAGCUUCUCCUAACCUGGCCCUGGGAACAUGCUGGCUGGGCUGGUUUGGGCCCUACAUGAAAUUCCUGAGAGCUUCUGGUCCAGUCCUCCCACCUCAGACAGAGGAAUGACUCCAACCUCGAGUGCGUUCUGUCACGGUGGCUGGUUCCUCUCCUCCUUUGCCUUCUGCAUGGGCACAGACCCGUGGGUCAGCUGAGACACUGAUCUCCUGUGAUGUUGCUCCAUGCUGACUUGUGACUCAGGUCUGCGGAAAAAAGGGGACAGAACAUGGGAGAGGAGAAACAAGAUGGAGGGCGAGGAUGGAUUCUCAGGGCCACCUCAGAGGGUGACCAACUUCUCUGCCUCACACUUUCCUUGUGGCAUGGCAACUCUCAAAUCCCAGGAAACUUCUCAUGCAGUAAGAACCAGGAUGGGUGGCCAUCAGAACCCCUGAGGUCUGCUCCUCAGAGAGGCCCAGUGAGCAGUCUGCCCUGGGUACCAGGUGACUCACCCCUGGGUUCAGAGCUGCCAGCUGGCAGAACUAGGACCUGGAUUUAAGUCCAGGGCUCCUUGGCUCCAGGCUGCGGGUCUUAGGUCAUUUCAUGAGGUGGGAUAUUCUCUCCAGUGGUCUUGGCCAAGAUCUUUCCUCAGGAGGAAGGUGAUGGUGAAAUAAUACAAAGAGAGAGGAGAGGGGACAACUGGUCAACUUUGGGGGAUCAAAGAAUAAGAGGCUGUAGUCACGCUGGCUCAGGGCUGUGGGAUCCUAUGAGGGGAAAGGUUUAAUGUCUGCCCCUAAGGAUUUGGCACUUUGCUUAGGAAAAUGUGGCAGGCUUACCUGUGGAUACCGGGCUCAGGUGCCACUCUGUACCACCUACGCACAGGUUCCAGGGAACAAUAGGUAAAGGGUGUGGCUUAUCAAGAUCGCAUUACUCUCACUUCUCUUUAAAGGAUGUGUUUGUUCAAGAAAUAUUUAUUGACUAUUUGUUCUUAAACAGAUUGUUCCCCCUCUUUGGAACACACUCUUCUCUCCUUUAUCUCCUUUCACCCCACCUCCCAAUUCCCUCUAUUCUUCAGGUUUCAGCUUAAUAUGUAAUAUUUAUUGACCCCUCGGGAAGAAGUAGGUGUAUUUUCAUCAUUUUGCAUUGCUUUAAUUAGAACUCAUUUAACCCCCAUGUAAACCAUAUGACUAUUUAACAGAUGAGGAAACUGAGAGGUAGGCUGGCUUGCCCAAGGACACAGGACUCUCUGCGGUAGCCUGGCAGGAAGGAUUUCCUGAUCCUCCUCUCCCUGCUCCCAGAACCCCUGUGGCUAGUCCCAGUGGGAGCACUCGUCACAGAGUUAUGUGAUCCCAGUCUCCUUGUUUGUUUCCUCUAUUAAACCAAGUCCUUGGAGGACAGGGCUCUUCUCUCUAGGCAUCUAGAAGAAGCUCAGCCUCUACUUGUCGACUGAAUGUCAAUGAACUGAUGGAUGUAUGAAUGAUUUGCUUCAACGGCUGUAGGAGCUCUGAGCUCAGGGUCCUCAGUGAAGACUUCCGCUUUGCACUGUAUUACCUCUGCAGUCCUGAACCAAGGGGCUCUUGAUGGCACACCCUCCUUUUUGGAGUGACAGUAUAACUGUGAGAUUGAGGGAAAGCUGAUGUUUAAGCAUUAAAGCAAACUUGAACUUUUUGGGGGGGAGUAGAGUGAGAUAUUUUCAAUAAUUCUUAGGGCCAAACUGACAUUUGGAGGACAUUCAUGGUCAUCCAAAGGUAAAUCUCAGAUCUCACUUCCUGUUCUUCACAUCUCCCCCGCCCCCCCAUUGCCAAUUCUCCUCUUCUGUUGGGGGUACUUUGGGUAAAUGGAUUUGGAAACGCUGCUAGGGGAAGUUUCUGGAACUCAGAAUAUGGGACAAUCAACUCUGCCAGGGUCGAAGGGAACAAAAGCAUUCCAGGGAGGGGCACAGGUGGCAGUCUGUCCCCAGUUGGGUGGGGAGCUGGUCACUGUGAACGGUUCUGAAUGUGCAAGUAGCUGUUGUAACAAAUGCUUCACAGCCACAUCCUGGAGUACCACCGCAGCUGAGUGGAAAACCUCACACUAUUUUUAGUCCCAUUAACUCCAGAAAAUGCCAUCUCUUUGCCUUUUUACAAGCCAAUUCCUUGUUGAUCUUGCCCAGUCUGGAAAUUUUGUGCUCCUUUUUAGCUCGGUGGGACCAAUCGUCAGUGGGGUGGAGUCCCUCUGUCUCUUUCUAUUUUCAUAUCUCGUGUCACUGUUCACAUGGGAAAAAUCAUGACAUUUCCCCACAUUGGGGCCCUAGGUAACCUGGUUCUGUGUUUUGGGCAUGGGAUUGCUCUGGGUCCCAUGGGGGCAGAUGCUAAGGAAGGGCCUGGGACUCCAGGUACCUGAAGUUGGCAUGGCUGGGGCUCAGCACCCACCUUGUUGAUUUCAGAAAGUGUUUCCAAGGAGAAGAGGAGGAACUUAGAGAGGAGCAUGGAGCCAAGAGGGGCAUCGUUCUCCACUGGAGGAAUCCAUGUAGUUUGGCAGGAAUGUUGGGAGACACUGUCAGCCAUGAUCCCUUGAAGUUCACAAAGUGCUUUCCAGCCUUGAGCUCUUUGGAUGCCUAAGCACCUCAGGGAGAUGGGGUGGCAGAAGAAAUCCUCCCCAUCCUACAACUGAGGAAAUAGAUUGGGGUGGGAAGAUGGUCCCAGGCCUGGUGGAACUAGGAAGUAAUAGGGCCAGGAUUGCAGUCCAACACCAGAGGGGAUAGUGACCACUGCGAUGGGCUAGGAGUCCAGAGAAAGAUGGGUAUGCAUUACUUUUCUCUAUUUACUGGUGGAGGAUCUGCACAGUCAUUGUCUUCCCUGAGCCUCAGUGUCCUCAGCUGUAAAUUGGGGAUGAUAACCUCUUAUAGGCUGGGCAGAACUCGAUAAUGUAUACUAAGUGUGAAUUCAGGACUUGGUAUGUAGUAAGUGCUCAAUAAGUGACUAUUGUCAGUAAUAUUAAUAAUAUUCUUUCUCACUGCUAGUAGGUCAUCUCUUACUGUAUGUUGCCAAGUCUUCCCUCCUUCCCUUGCUGGAGGGCCUCUAUCUGUUGUAUCUUUCAACAUGUCGUCAAAGAAGUUGGUAGAGGGUACUACGAAUUCUUUAAAUAUUCAUGUCACAUGCAGCCAGAUCAAUGUUUAUAGCAGCUCAAUUCAUAAUAGGUAAGCUAUGGAACCAACCUAGAUGUCCUUCAGUGGAUGAAUGGAUAAAGAAAAUGUGAUACAUAGAUACAAUGGAAUAUAUUACUCGGCCUCAAAGAAGAAUGAAAUUAUGGCAUUUGCAGUAAAAGAAUGGAACUAGAGAACAUCAUGCUAAGUGAAAUAAGUCAAUCCCCCAAAUCCAAAAGCAGAAUGUUCUCUGUGAUAAGCGGAUGCUGAUCCAUAGUGCGGGGGAGGUAGGGAAGAAUGAAGGAACUUUGGAUUGUGCAGAGGGGACUGGGGGCCGUAUGGAGAUGGGAAGGACGGUGGAAUGAGACGGAGAUUAUUACCCUAUAUACAUAUAUGAUUACACCACUGGUGUGACUCUGCACCAUGUUCAGCCAGAGGAAGGAGAAGUUGUGCUCCAUUUGUGUACAGUGUGUCAAAAUGCAUUCUACUGUCACGUAUAACUAAUUAGAACAAAUUAAAAAAUAAAAUAAAAUAAUAAAAAAAUAUUCAUGUCACAGGCAGGUGGCUUCCCUGUUUCGUUCUGGAGCUGCAUAGGGACAGCCUUUGUCCUUUCAGCACUGGAAAUCAUGAGGAGAGAUGACUGCCGUGGCUGGAGUCUGGCCUGGAAUCCUCCAGAAAAUGGUCAGUAUUUGUGGGUCUGGGUUUCUAGGAAGGGAGUUAUCUCAGGGCCUCAGUAACCUGGAGUGGUGGGCAGGUGGGCAGUCAUCUAGAGCCAUCUAUAAGGGACACAAAAACAUGGAGGGGAUGUUUGUCCAAGUCGCCUUCAGGGAGGUUUCAUGAAGUUGGAGGAUCUUUCUUGGAUAAGCUGUUUGGGCUGUGGCACAAUCUCUCAGGUGGUGGGUCAGAGCCCAGGAUGGUUCCUAAAGGAGAGGAAGGCCACUAACUGAUGGGCUUUUGGAUUUCUGGGUAUGUUUGGGGCCAAAGCUGCGUAGUGUGGAGCAGUGGUUGAGGAUGACUAUCCGAGGUCCUCUCUGAUCUCUGGAUUCAGGGGAGGUUAUUAUUUAAGGGGUAUCUAAUUGUUUGCCAGCUUGGGGUCACUACACCCUCUGGCCAGUUCUGCUUGGCAUCUGCUAGGGCAGCAGAGACCUUGGGGCCCUAAGAGCUGCUGGUAUGGCCACUUGGGGGGCCCUUGGUGAGGUAAUCCAGAACCUCCCCACCCUCCCUGGCAUGCAUGGAUCUGUCCACAGGGAGUCUGGCAGAAGGUCAAAGCUGACGAGAGAGGAAGGUGGAGCAGGCAUCAGGCACAUGAUGUCCUGCUUUUGUUAUUUACUGAGUGUCCUUCCUUAGCUUGGGAUUGCUGGUGUGAGUAUUUGGCAGAUUUGUAGGAACCUCCCAAGAUGAUGUGAAGUUCUGGGGCUGAGUUAGUCCCACCAAGAGGAAGAUAAACCUUGUGAAGAACUCAGGUGGCUAGGAGGUAGGUGUUGGGCAGUGGGUGUGUCCCAGGAGGGUGCUUGGCCCAGUUCCUUCCAUUCUAACACUACAAUAUCUGCUUAUCAUUUCAGGGACUACGGUUGGGUGGCCAGGUCCUUUGACCUGGUCUGUAGUUGGAGAUGGUGAGUCAGGGUUCUGAUGACAGCUAGCAGGUGCUGAGCCCCUAUUGUGUGCCAGCGACCUUGUGAGAUGGCUCCUUCUGGACACAGUCAUCAAUCUACCUAACAAGCCUGCAAAGUUGGCCUUGGAGUCCCCAUUUUACAGAGGGGGAAACUGAGACUGGGGUUCCAGAUUCAUUCCUGAGUUGGCCGAGGACCUUACCUUCGACCCAUGGAUGUCUUACGGUUCUGAGAGCCGUAGUGGAUGAGUUUCCUAAUUCAUGGCGUGGUGGGGUCUUAGCAGGAUUUCCUCUGUGGGGUUCUGAUUGGGUUUCCUUUGUGGGUCAGGGAGUAUCAGGCCACUAGACCCUGGCUGGUGUUAGGUGUGGGAGCUGGGUUCCUGUCCGCUGCCUGAUGUUGGACUCUCAGCCUGUUGGAGAUCACUCAUAGCAUCUUGGGGCUCUGCCCACUGAGAUGAAGGGAAGUGAAUAGGUAAUAAUAUGUGGUACCCUGCCAAGGAAAGGGAAGUCAUACUUGAGGAACGAGUGGGACCCCUUUUCUAAGCACCUUGCAGGCUGUCCUAAAUCAGAGGUUUGAUCAUGGAGACCCCAGAAGUCAAUGUUUCUUUCCUUCAGCUUUCCUAGUUGGGUCUAUGAGGUGCGAGAAGGAAAUAUAGGCCUGGGAAGAGGUCAAGUACAGGGAAGGCAUAGCAAAGCCCAGUGUGGGAGGCUAAGGCCACUGGGAGAGAGCAAGAGCACAAAGCUGGGACCUUUCAGGAACUGGAGUGCUGCUGUCAUUCUGGGAUUCCUGACUGGGGAAGGGAAGGAGGGAACAAGGUCAGAUGGAGUCUCACCUCUUUCCCAGCCAGGGGCACAGCUGCCUUGUUGAGCCAGACCAGGCUGCCCUGCCCCUUUCCCAAGAAACUUGAUUUCUUGUUUUUAUCAGACUUUGCGACCUUUCUCUUUCUGCAGGUUCGAGUGGAAACUGGAAGGCAAAACCUGUGGGGCAAGGCCUCAGGAAUUGCUUAUAAUUUCCAAAUGUAUGGUGGAGAGACAGGGGUCCAAUAUGCCAUGCCCGGUAGAGUGUCUUUCACACUCCAGAAUGGUCGAACCUCCAGCUAGCUUCCAGAGGGAACUUCCUACAGAAUGACAUAACCAGCUCCCUGCUGCCUCCAGCAACAUAGCCCGUCCCAUGUAUGGACUGACAGCCAAGGACACAGUGAGCUAGUUCCCAUUAGACCAUCAGCCACAGAAGUUGGGGACCACUGUGUGACCCUACAGCAGCAUGGCACUGUCCCUGCUCUCCGAAGGAGCUCUAGGAAGGUCUGCUGAGUGAACCACUGUAAGAAGGAAUAAACUCUAGGAUGUGCUGCUGCAAAGUGACUUGAAUUUUGAUUCCCAUUCGUUGGAGCUUGCCAAGGACGCGGCUUAAAUCACCUUGUCGUAAUGGGAGAAGAGGAGGAAGAGCAAUGAUUAAAUGUGCCUGAUAAAACUCUAUUCCAUGUUUGGAAUAAAAAAAGGGAAGGUUGAGAUAAA